GCCCGAAUGGUCUAGUCGUAUGAUACCUGCUUUGGGGUUUUCAAACUGAAAUGCAGGUGGUCCCGGGUUCAAAUCCCGGUUCGGGCC